AGCAGCCGCGGUAAUUCCAGCUCCAAUAGCGUAUAUUAAAGUUGUUGCAGUUAAAAAGCUCGUAGUUGAAUUUCGGGGUUAGUAGGUUGGUCAUGCCUCUGGUAUGUACUGGUCUCACUGAUUCCUCCUUCCUGAUGAAUCUUAAUGCCAUUUAUUUGGUGUUUUGGGGAAUUUGGACUGUUACUUUGAAAAAUUAGAGUGUUUAAAGCAAGCUAACGCUUGAAUACAUUAGCAUGGAAUAAUGAAAUAGGACGUUCGAUCCUAUUUUGUUGGUUUCUAGGAUUGACGUAAUGAUUAAUAGGGAUAGUUGGGGGCAUUAGUAUUCAAUUGUCAGAGGUGAAAUUCUUGGAUUUAUUGAAGACUAACUACUGCGAAAGCAUUUGCCAAGGAUGUUUUCAUUAAUCAAGAACGAAAGUUAGGGGAUCGAAGACGAUCAGAUACCGUCGUAGUCUUAACCAUAAACUAUGCCGACUAGGGAUCGGAUGAUGUUAAUUUUUUAAUGACUUCAU
rnacentral:rRNA from 1 species